rnacentral:tRNA from 1 species
GCCUCAGUAGUGCAGUGGCCUAGCACUGAGCCCUGUCGCGGCUUAAACCUGGGUUCGAAUCCCAGCUGAGGCG